UGGGGAGUGGCCAAGUGGUAAGGCAGAGGACUUUGGAUCCUCGAUCGUAGGUUCGAUCCCUACCUCCCCAGCCA
rnacentral:tRNA from 1 species